rnacentral:rRNA from 1 species
GAACGAGAAGCGAUGAGAAGCUUGCUUCUUAUCAAUUCGAGUGGCAAACGGGUGAGUAACGCGUAAGCAACCUGCCCUUCAGAUGGGGACAACAGCUGGAAACGGCUGCUAAUACCGAAUACGUUCUUUCCGCCGCAUGACGGGAUGAAGAAAGGGAGGCCUUCGGGCUUUCGCUGGAGGAGGGGCUUGCGUCUGAUUAGCUAGUUGGAGGGGCAACGGCCCACCAAGGCGACGAUCAGUAGCCGGUCUGAGAGGAUGAACGGCCACAUUGGGACUGAGACACGGCCCAGACUCCUACGGGAGGCAGCAGUGGGGAAUCUUCCGCAAUGGACGAAAGUCUGACGGAGCAACGCCGCGUGAACGAUGACGGCCUUCGGGUUGUAAAGUUCUGUUAUAUGGGACCAACAGGAUAGCGGUUUAUACCCCGUGUCCCCGACGGUACCGUAAGAGAAAGCCACGGCUAACUACGUGCCAGCAGCCCCGGUAAUACGUAGGUGGCAAGCGUUGUCCGGAAUAUUGGGCGUAAGGGCGCGCAGGCGGCAUCGCAAGUCGGUCUUAAAAGUGCGGGGCUUAACCCCGUGAGGGGACCGAAACUGUGAAGCUCGAGUGUCGGAGAGGAAAGCGGAAUUCCUAGUGUAGCGGUGAAAUGCGUAGAUAUUAGGAGGAACACCAGUGGCGAAAGCGGCUUUCUGGACGACAACUGACGCUGAGGCGCGAAAGCCAGGGGAGCAAACGGGAUUAGAUACCCCGGUAGUCCUGGCCGUAAACGAUGGAUACUAGGUGUAGGAGGUAUCGACUCCUUCUGUGCCGGAGUUAACGCAAUAAGUAUCCCGCCUGGGGAGUACGGCCGCAAGGCUGAAACUCAAAGGAAUUGACGGGGGCCCGCACAAGCGGUGGAGUAUGUGGUUUAAUUCGACGCAACGCGAAGAACCUUACCAAGCCUUGACAUUGAUUGCUACGGAAAGAGAUUUCCGGUUCUUCUUCGGGAGACAAGAAAACAGGUGGUGCACGGCUGUCGUCAGCUCGUGUCGUGAGAUGUUGGGUUUAGUCCCCGCAACGAGCGCAACCCCUAUCUUCUGGUGCCAGCACUAUGGAUGGGGACUCAAAAGAGACUGCCGCAGACCAUGGCGAGGAAGGCCGGGAUCACGUCAAGUCAUCAUGCCCCUUAUGGCUUGGGCUACCCACCUACUACAGGGGCUCUUAAUAGGGGGGAGCGAAGGAGCAAUCCGAAGCAAACCCCCAAAACCGGAUCCCAGUUCCGGAUUGCAGCUGGAAUUCGCCUGCUUAAAGAGGAAUCGCAAUAAUCGGGGGUCACUUCGUGCGGGGAUAAUUUCCGGGGCUUGUAAAAACGGCCGUUAACCCGGAAAGUAUUCAACCCCAAGGCGGGUAGCCACCCCAAGGAACAGCCCUUUAAAGGGGGGCCAAAAAUGGGGGAAACGUACACAGUUUCAUAAGGCCAAUUGUUUAACCUGAGGGGUAGUCCUUUGUGAGGGUAAUCCGAGUUGGGAAUCUGGGAAGGUUUUCUGGGAAAAUUUACCCCCCAAUUCCCCAAAAAAAACGUGGGGUUUUUCCCCCCCGGAAAACCCCCGAGGGGAAAUCCCCGGUUAAAAAUUUCUUUGGCCCCUUUGGCCCCCCCAAAAGGCCCCCUUAGGGGGGUUGGGGGGAAAAAUUGGGGGGGAGGGUGGGGGGGGGGGUAUAACCCGAGAAAAAGCGGGGGGGGGUAUUAAAAAACAUCACGAGGGGGCCCGGGGGGGGGUUGUGUU